rnacentral:rRNA from 1 species
GAUGAACGCUGGCGGCGUGCCUAAUACAUGCAAGUCGAGCGAACAGACGAGGAGCUUGCUCCUCUGACGUUAGCGGCGGACGGGUGAGUAACACGUGGAUAACCUACCUAUAAGACUGGGAUAACUUCGGGAAACCGGAGCUAAUACCGGAUAAUAUAUUGAACCGCAUGGUUCAAUAGUGAAAGACGGUUUUGCUGUCACGUAUAGAUGGAUCCGCGCCGCAUUAGCUAGUUGGUAAGGUAACGGCUUACCAAGGCGACGAUGCGUAGCCGACCUGAGAGGGUGAUAGGCCACACUGGAAGUGAGACACGGUCCAGACUCCUACGGGAGGCAGCAGUAGGGAAUCUUCCGCAAUGGGCGAAAGCCUGACGGAGCAACGCCGCGUGAGUGAUGAAGGUCUUCGGAUCGUAAAACUCUGUUAUUAGGGAAGAACAAAUGUGUAAGUAACUAUGCACGUCUUGACGGUACCUAAUCAGAAAGCAACGGCUAACUACGUG